rnacentral:rRNA from 1 species
GGCGGACUGGUGAGUAACACGUGGGUGAUCUACCCUUGGUUUGGGGAUAGCUCGUGGAAACACGGGGUAAUACCGAAUACGUCGGUACGGCUACGGCCGUGCCGGGAAAGGCGCUAAGGCGCCGACCGAGGAUGAGCCCGCGCCCCAUUAGCUAGUUGGUGAGGUAAUGGCCCACCAAGGCUAUGAUGGGUAGCCGGCCUGAGAGGGUGUACGGCCACACUGGGACUGAGAUACGGCCCAGACUCCUACGGGAGGCAGCAGCUAAGAAUAUUCCGCAAUGGACGAAAGUCUGACGGAGCGACGCCGCGUGAAUGAAGAAGGCCGAAAGGUUGUAAAAUUCUUUUGUCGGGGAAGAAUAAGCGUGGGAGGGAAUGCCCGCGUGAUGACAUGAACCGGCGAAUAAGCCCCGGCUAACUACGUGCCAGCAGCCGCGGUAACACGUAGGGGGCAAGCGUUGUUCGGAAUUACUGGGCGUAAAGGGCAUGUAGGCGGUUUUGUAAGCCUGGCGUGAAAGGCUGCAGCUU